rnacentral:rRNA from 1 species
AUACACGCUGGCGGCGUGCUUAACACAUGCAAGUCGAACGAAGUUUUUCCUUCGGGAGAAACUUAGUGGCGGACGGGUGAGUAACGCGUGGGUAACCUGCCCUGUACAGGGGGACAACAGCUGGAAACGGCUGCUAAUACCGCAUAAGCCCUUAGCACUGCAUGGUGCAUAGGGAAAAGGAGCAAUCCGGUACAGGAUGGACCCGCGUCUGAUUAGCCAGUUGGCAGGGUAACGGCCUACCAAAGCGACGAUCAGUAGCCGAUCUGAGAGGAUGUACGGCCACAUUGGGACUGAGACACGGCCCAGACUCCUACGGGAGGCAGCAGUGGGGAAUAUUGCACAAUGGAGGAAACUCUGAUGCAGCGACGCCGCGUGAGUGAAGAAGUAUUUCGGUAUGUAAAGCUCUAUCAGCAGGGAAGAAAAUGACGGUACCUGACGAAGAAGCACCGGCUAAAUACGUG